CCCGGGAAUGCCUUGAUGCCUGAGACUUUAAUUUCUUCUGGUUUCCUUUGCAGGAGCUGCAGGUAUUCGUGAGCCGGGCUGCCCUGCAGCAACUAUUUUCAAGGCAAUAACUUGGAUGGGAUGGAGGGGCGAGAAGAGGGAUGUGCAGGCAGGGAAGAGCGGGAGGCCAGAGGACAGUCCAGACUAGGAUGGAGGAGCGGCCACAGCCACAAUCCUGGAGAAGCGGCUCUCCCUCUCUCUCUCAGCCCAGAGCAGGAGCGAGCAGGUCAGAA
rnacentral:lncRNA from 1 species